GCCGGCUUAGCACAGUGGUAAUGCCUCUGAUUUGUAAUCAGAGGGUCAUCGGUUCGAUCUCGAUAGCCGGCU
rnacentral:tRNA from 1 species